GUUUAGUGUAUGAAAAUCAUCAGUCUUGAAUGUUGCCGCUCUCUACAUUUUGCUUGUAACUCAUUCAACUCUGCAGCCUACCUGGUUUCCUUUCUCUCUCUCUCUUCUCUUCAAUAAUGUAUCUUCUUCUCUCUAAACUGCUCCACCUCCUGCAUUUUGGGCCUGCAGAUUCUCACUUUGCUCCUCCUCCUGCUGCUGCUGCUCUUCCUGACGCUGCCGCUGCUCAUCA
rnacentral:misc_RNA from 1 species